rnacentral:rRNA from 1 species
CCUACGGGUGGCAGCAGUCGAGAAUCAUUCACAAUGGGGGAAACCCUGAUGGUGCGACGCCGCGUGGGGGAAUGAAGGUCUUCGGAUUGUAAACCCCUGUCAUGUGGGAGCAAAUUAAAAAGAUAGUACCACAAGAGGAAGAGACGGCUAACUCUGUGCCAGCAGCCGCGGUAAUACAGAGGUCUCAAGCGUUGUUCGGAAUCACUGGGCGUAAAGCGUGCGUAGGCUGUUUCGUAAGUCGUGUGUGAAAGGCGCGGGCUCAACCCGCGGACGGCACAUGAUACUGCGAGACUAGAGUAAUGGAGGGGGAACCGGAAUUCUCGGUGUAGCAGUGAAAUGCGUAGAGAUCGAGAGGAACACUCGUGGCGAAGGCGGGUUACUGGACAUUAACUGACGCUGAGGCACGAAGGCCAGGGGAGCGAAAGGGAUUAGAUACCCCAGUAGUC